GAGGAAAAAAGAACUCUCUACUUCUCUUCUCUUACCCUGCAACUUCAUCCCUAAAGAAUUAACUAAAGUCAUGAAAUUUAACCUUGAUUCUUCAUCUUUAAACCAGAUCUGUAACUUUCUUUUAGGGUUUUUGAUUGCAUGAUAAAAUUGUUGAUGUUUUUCUCUUUCUGUACAACAAAAAGGGUGAAACUCUUUCUUCAUAUCUACAGCAAAAUGGGUGGUAGUGGUUAUGCUGGUCGUGGAGCUGGUGGUGCAAUCUGAUACUAUAGAGAAUCGAAUUAAAGGGUUUGUAAUAAUUAGUUUCAGUGUUUUCUAACUGACGAGAAAGAGGAAUAUUUUGUCAUAAGAUUUUGAUUUAGCAGUUUUUUUUUUUUUUGUUAAGCUACUGGUUUCCUCUAUAAGCAAAUCUUAAAGUUCAGAUCUUUCGAGUUGCAGUUGCAACAUAGUUUUGGAUUUAAUUGAAGAAUCAAUUGAUUUAGUUCUUUAAUAAAAAUCAAUUUGGGGGUUUUCAUCAAAUGAAACCAUGGAUUUCUGUAGGUGGGGAUUUGUAUGAUUUUUUUUUGUUUAAAUCUGUUUUGCUUACCAGUUGACUGAUAUCUAUGGGGAUGGAUUUUUGUUUAAAUCCGUUUUGAUGUUCUUAAUUUUGUCAGCUUAGUUACUGGAAAUUUUAUUAGGGUUCUUGAAUGAGGCCAAUGGAUUAUGGGUUUAACUUGGAUUUGUUUAUAGUCUGCUGCAACUACUCUAUUUUAAGAUUGUGGUUUCCCAUCCAAACGCUUUGGUUUGGGGGAUUAAUGAUUUUGUUGGGUUUGAUAGGUGCUUAUAAGUGGUUUGAUAAGUGCUUAUAAGUACGUUUCUGAGUUAUGGUGGAAGAAGCAAUCCGAUGUGAUGAGGUUUUUGCAGAGGUGAGGUGCUGGGAGCCAACAUCCUUCGAUUUUCCGUUUUACCCGUUCUGGUAAGGCUAGACGUUUGGGUUAAAAGUCCAAUAAGGUUCUCAAUGAUGCCUUCUUAUAUAUGACACCAAGCCUAAGCUUACUAGUCAUGGCGAGCUCUAUAAUGAAGGGAAAGUGUUUUGAGGCGAUUAGCUGUAGAAAUCAUGGAGACAGAAUUAGACAAAUGAACCUGAUUAUAUUUAAGAGAAAACACGCUUGUCGUGAGCCUGUAUAGUGUUGUAAAUGGUGUUGAUGGAAUUGAACCAACAAUAUUCGAGAGUCGAAAGUUGUUGAUCUUGAAGUUGCAAGGGCGCAAGCUGAAUCUGAAGUGAUGACUGCAGAGAAUAGAACGUAGAUUUAAAUGGCUCCUAAGAUUCAGGUGCAGGUGGCAAAUGUCUAUUGUUUGGCCAUAAUAGGAGGAAGAAAACUUCUACGGAUCUCAAAUUUGGUAGCACAUCCUAGUCUGGGUUAGCUGAUCUUAUUCAUGUGAGGAAAACUUCUGUAGGAGUGUAUGUCUUGAUUCUGUUUACUUCAUGGGUGUAUUAAUGGCUAAGGAGAGCAAGACGUUGCUGGUAUGAAUUGCGUCUCUGUUAUUAAAGUUCAAUGAUCUCACUCCCUUUUCAUAGCUGAAUACAAGUGAUUGAAUGAGUAAUAUGGAAGUGGAUAACCACCUGAUGAACACCAAUAGUGAUUCCAUGAACAUAUAGAUCCUGGUGCAAUCGGCAAUCUCUUUGAGUUCUCCAACUCGUUGAAAGUAAAGACGGAGGUUAUGUACUUCGUGCUGAUGAAGAUGUGGGUAGGGAAGGUCUAAUUUGUGCAGUUAGAUUCCUCAAAGAUCUACUGGUGUGCUGUUCUGGAAUUGUUGGCUCAGUUCAUCAUCUGGCAGAAUUCAGGACUUACAUGUAUGACUUAUAUGGAUUUAGGACUUCAUUAAUUAGUUUCUUUUGUGAUAUUGAACCUAAGUGUAAACUGAUUUCAGUUAUGAAUUUUGCAACAAAUACAAUGAUUUUUAUUUAAA